GACGAACGCUGGCGGCGUGCUUAACACAUGCAAGUCGAACGAUGAAGCCCUUCGGGGUGGAUUAGUGGCGAACGGGUGAGUAACACGUGGGCAAUCUGCCCUUCACUCUGGGGCAAGCCCUGGAAACGGGGUCUAAUACCGGAUAUGAGAACCCUGGCCAUCCUUGGUUCUGUAAAGCUCCGGCGGUGAAGGAUGAGCCCGCGGCCUAUCAGCUUGUUGGUGAGGUAACGGCUCACCAAGGCGACGACGGGUAGCCGGCCUGAGAGGGCGACCGGCCACACUGGGACUGAGACACGGCCCAGACUCCUACGGGAGGCAGCAGUGGGGAAUAUUGCACAAUGGGCGAAAGCCUGAUGCAGCGACGCCGCGUGAGGGAUGACGGCCUUCGGGUUGUAAACCUCUUUCAGCAGGGAAGAAGCGCAAGUGACGGUACCUGCAGAAGAAGCGCCGGCUAACUACGUGCCAGCAGCCGCCGUAAUAC
rnacentral:rRNA from 1 species